UUCAAAUAAGCCAACCUCUGGAGUUUAAAAAGAAUGGAGACAACCUACCCUUACUUCCCAUGUCUUUCACAGACUCUCUGCCUUAUCCAACACCAUCAGCGGCUGUGAGUUAUUCAACCUCAGCAUCUUUUCCAAAGCCUAUAGAGGUGCCCACAUCAACAGUUUCUUCAACUCCUGGACAGCAUCCACAUGGUUUCAAUCCAAUAGGUACUUUUUCCAUUCUUAUAUUUUGAAACUGUUUUUCUGAAGCUGGGAUCCGGUCAUUGUGAAC
rnacentral:lncRNA from 1 species